UGGCGGACGGGUGAGUAAUGUCUGGGAAACUGCCUGAUGGAGGGGGAUAACUACUGGAAACGGUAGCUAAUACCGCAUAACGUCGCAAGGCCAAAGAGGGGGACCUUCGGGCCUCUUGCCAUCGGAUGUGCCCAGAUGGGAUUAGCUAGUAGGUGGGGUAAAGGCUCACCUAGGCGACGAUCCCUAGCUGGUCUGAGAGGAUGACCAGCCACACUGGAACUGAGACACGGUCCAGACUCCUACGGGAGGCAGCAUG
rnacentral:rRNA from 1 species